AACGAACGCUGGCGGCAUGCCUAACACAUGCAAGUCGAACGAGACCUUCGGGUCUAGUGGCGCACGGGUGCGUAACGCGUGGGAAUCUGCCCUUGGGUUCGGAACAACAGUUGGAAACGACUGCUAAUACCGGAUGAUGACUUCGGUCCAAAGAUUUAUCGCCCAAGGAUGAGCCCGCGUCGGAUUAGCUAGUUGGUGAGGUAAAAGCUCACCAAGGCGACGAUCCGUAGCUGGUCUGAGAGGAUGAUCAGCCACACUGGGACUGAGACUCGGCCCAGACUCCUACGGGAGGCAGCAGUGGGGAAUAUUGGACAAUGGGCGAAAGCCUGAUCCAGCAAUGCCGCGUGAGUGAUGAAGGCCUUAGGGUUGUAAAGCUCUUUUACCCGGGAUGAUAAUGACAGUACCGGGAGAAUAAGCCCCGGCUAACUCCGUGCCAGCAGCCGCGGUAACAC
rnacentral:rRNA from 1 species